rnacentral:rRNA from 1 species
AGAGUUUGAUCAUGGCUCAGAACGAACGCUGGCGGCAUGCCUAACACAUGCAAGUCGAACGUGAUCCAGGCUUCGGUCUGGUGAAAGUGGCAAACGGGUGAGUAACGCGUGGGAACCUGCCCAGAGGUAGGGAAUAACUGCGGGAAACUGCAGCUAAUACCCUAUGUGUCCUGAGGGACAAAGAUUUAUCGCCUUUGGAGGGGCCCGCGUCGGAUUAGGUAGUUGGUGGGGUAACGGCCUACCAAGCCAUCGAUCCGUAGCUGGUCUGAGAGGAUGAUCAGCCACACUGGGACUGAGAUACGGCCCAGACUCCUACGGGAGGCAGCAGUGGGGAAUAUUGGACAAUGGGGGCAACCCUGAUCCAGCAAUGCCGCGUGAGUGAUGAAGGCCUUCGGGUUGUAAAGCUCUUUCGGCGGGGAAGAUGAUGACGGUACCCGCAGAAGAAGCCCCGGCUAACUUCGUGCCAGCAGCCGCGGUAAUACGAAGGGGGCUAGCGUUGUUCGGAAUUACUGGGCGUAAAGGGCGCGUAGGCUGUGCUGUAAGUCAGGCGUGAAAUCCCCGGGCUCAACCUGGGAAUUGCGUUUGAUACUGCGGCGCUGGAAUGCAGGAGAGGAUGGCGGAAUUCCCAGUGUAGAGGUGAAAUUCGUAGAUAUUGGGAAGAACACCGGUGGCGAAGGCGGCCAUCUGGCCUGUAAUUGACGCUGAGGCGCGAAAGCGUGGGGAGCAAACAGGAUUAGAUACCCUAGUAGUCC